GAUGAAGAACGUAGCGAAACGCGAUAUGUAAUGUGAAUUGCAGAAUUCAGUGAAUCAUCGAAUCUUUGAACGCACAUGGCGCCUUCCAGUAUCCUGGGAGGCAUGCCUGUCCGAGCGUCCUUUCAACCCUCGAGCCCCCGUGGCCCGGCGUUGGGGAUCUGCCCAGGCAGUCCCCGAAAACCAGUGGCGGACCCGUUACAGGCCCUUCCCUUGCGUAGUAGCAUUCGCCUCGCAUCGGGAGCCGGCGGGCUUCCAGCCUCUAAACCCCCAUCAAGUCCGCCCCGGCGGCACCAAGGUUGACCUCGGAUCAGGUAGGAAUACCCGCUGAACUUAAGCAUAUCAAUAAGCGGAGGA
rnacentral:misc_RNA from 1 species